UUUUGUCUCCCUAGCUUUAUGAA
rnacentral:misc_RNA from 1 species